AACGAACGCUGGCGGCAUGCCUAACACAUGCAAGUCGAACGAGACCUUCGGGUCUAGUGGCGCACGGGUGCGUAACGCGGGGGAACCUGCCCUUAGGUUCGGAAUAACUCCCCGAAAGGGGUGCUAAUACCGGAGAAUGUCUUCGGACCAAAGAUUUAUCGCCUUUGGAUGGGCCCGCGUUGGAUUAGCUAGUUGGUAGGGUAAAAGCCUACCAAGGCGACGAUCCAUAGCUGGUCUGAGAGGAUGAUCAGCCACACUGGGACUGAGACACGGCCCAGACUCCUACGGGAGGCAGCAGUGGGGAAUCUUGGACAAUGGGCGAAAGCCUGAUCCAGCAAUGCCGCGUGAGUGAUGAAGGCCUUAGGGUUGUAAAGCUCUUUUACCCGGGAUGAUAAUGACAGUACCGGGAGAAUAAGCUCCGGCUAACUCCGUG
rnacentral:rRNA from 1 species